CCGAAUUUGGGUAGCAACAAGUGGACGUUGAACUUCAAGAGAUCACUAUUACACGGAGCAUACACCAUGAAAGGGACUUGGCUGCUUAUUGCUUGCUUCUGUUCUUUAACGUAUGGCGGAUACGAUGAUGGAAAGGUAUCUUUAUUUGAGCGCUUGCUGAAUGAACUGAGUGCAGCCUCUUCGGGUGAAGCCCCGGAGGAAAGGGGGAUGGAUGAGAAGAGAGGGGGUAAUGUUGUGACAGAGCUGCCGACACCGAUACGAGGUACUGAGGCCAAGACUGUCAGGGGGAC